CCUACGGGAGGCAGCAGUGAGGAAUAUUGGUCAAUGGACGAGAGUCUGAACCAGCCAAGUAACGUGAAGGAUGACUGCCCUAUGGGUUGUAAACUUCUUUUAUAUGGGAAUAAAACGUUCCACGUGUGGGAUUUUGUAUGUACCAUAUGAAUAAGGAUCGGCUAACUCCGUGCCAGCAGCCGCGGUAAUACGGAGGAUCCGAGCGUUAUCCGGAUUUAUUGGGUUUAAAGGGAGCGUAGGUGGAUUGUUAAGUCAGUUGUGAAAGUUUGCGGCUCAACCGUAAAAUUGCAGUUGAAACUGGCAGUCUUGAGUACAGUAGAGGUGGGCGGAAUUCGUGGUGUAGCGGUGAAAUGCUUAGAUAUCACGAAGAACUCCGAUUGCGAAGGCAGUUCACUGGACUGCAACUGACACUGAGGCUCGAAAGUGUGGGUAUCAAACAGGAUUAGAUACCCUAGUAGUC
rnacentral:rRNA from 1 species